UGGCAUACUGACAUACUGAGUAGCAGCACUGAAGUUAACAUUGCUGCCUUACUCUUCCAACAAGCCUGUGCAAUGAGCAUCAUCUUUCCUAGUUUAUGAGUGAGGAAAGUGAAAUCCACAGGAACUCAGUAAACUGCCCAAGGUCUUAUUUGUAAACACUAGAAUGGGAAUUUGAAGCCGGGUGGGAAUCUAAAUCAUGUCCUCUAUCCCAUGCAUUACCAACUUGAAUAUACAUAUGAACCAUCUGCAGAUCUUGUUGAAGUUCUGAUUCUGGAAGACUGUGACUGUUGAUUCUUUCUUUAUGACAAGCUCCCAGGUGAUGCCAAGACUGUGGCUCAUGGGCAUACAUUAGCCAGAAAAAUUCUCUCUCUUAAAAAACGAAAACUUCCUCCCUUCCUUAACAAUCAAGAAACACUAGAUACCUACAGAAAGGAGGGAAAAUUACAAGUUGUAAAAUAAUCAUUAAAGUUCUGAGAGAGAAACUGUGCCUUUGUUGACGUGAAAGAGGGCACCUUCCCCAUUGGACAGUGGAGUGGCUCUUCACCAGGGCCCACCACAGAAAUGUCUUCAGGCCUCUUCACCACCUCACAUCUGCAUCUCAACUCCAGGCAGCAGAGUUCAUAUCAAGGGCCCAUGUUUUAACUGAAUACAAUUUUUUUUUUUCACCUUGGAAAAGUCUUAGAGGCAAGACUAGAAUGUUAAUCUAAAAGGAGUGCAAAUUUCUUCAACAACCAUUCCCACGGAGGAAGGCAUUAUAGUAUGUGUAGCCUUGGAAUCAGAAGACCAAGAACAUACAAGAGAACCUAGCCUUGGAAUCAGAAGAUCAAGAAACAAUUUAACUCUGCCCCUCCAGAGCUCUGAGAACUUGGGCAAGCCUCUUACUCUCUGUGAGUUUCAGUUUCCUCAUUUAUUUGAUUGAAAUAAUAAUACAGAUCACCUGAAAUGUAAUGAAAAUUAAACAUCCUUAUGGAGGUGAAACCAAUUGGCAGCAUG
rnacentral:lncRNA from 1 species